rnacentral:rRNA from 1 species
GACGAACGCUGGCGGCGUGCCUAAUACAUGCAAGUUGAGCGCUGAAGGUUGGUACUUGUACCGACUGGAUGAGCAGCGCACGGGUGAGUAACGCGUGGGGAAUCUGCCUUUGAGCGGGGGACAACAUUUGGAAACGAAUGCUAAUACCGCAUAAAAACUUUAAACACAAGUUUUAAGUUUGAAAGAUGCAAUUGCAUCACUCAAAGAUGAUCCCGCGUUGUAUUAGCUAGUUGGUGAGGUAAAGGCUCACCAAGGCGAUGAUACAUAGCCGACCUGAGAGGGUGAUCGGCCACAUUGGGACGGAGACACGGCCCAAACUCCUACGGGAGGCAGCAGUAGGGAAUCUUCGGCAAUGGACGAAAGUCUGACCGAGCAACGCCGCGUGAGUGAAGAAGGUUUUCGGAUCGUAAAACUCUGUUGGUAGAGAAGAACGUUGGUGAGAGUGGAAAGCUCAUCAAGUGACGGUAACUACCCAGAAAGGGACGGCUAACUACGUG